GCCAAGGGGUUAUUUCGCGACUACCCCGUGAGGCGGCAGCCCAAAGUUCGCGUCCAGCUUUCCCGAGAGAAAGGGGAUGGACGCCAUG
rfam:Mesorhizobium sp. 65-26 SCNpilot_cont_1000_bf_scaffold_20, whole genome shotgun sequence.